rnacentral:lncRNA from 1 species
AAAGACGAAAUUACAAUCAAACUUGGAAGCUUGGCUAAACUCUAGCUAUGUUUUCCUCUUCAAAUUCAACCAAGGGGGACUAAAUUGAGAAGAUAGACACUUUUAUUUAGUUAUUUUUGUCUUUAUUUACUAGAUUACCAAAAUGCCCUUCACUUAAACUUUGAAAUUUUUCCCUAACCAUGUUCAUUUUUAUCCAUACUAAAGUAUAAUGGUCUAAUUACCAUUUAAGGACCUCUAAUUUAGAAUUUCAUAACAAUU